rnacentral:rRNA from 1 species
AUUGAGCGCUGGCGGCAGGCCUAACACAUGCAAGUCGAGCGGAUGAAGGUAGCUUGCUACCUGAUUCAGCGGCGGACGGGUGAGUAAUGCCUAGGAAUCUGCCUGGUAGUGGGGGACAACGUUUCGAAAGGAACGCUAAUACCGCAUACGUCCUACGGGAGAAAGUGGGGGAUCUUCGGACCUCACGCUAUCAGAUGAGCCUAGGUACGAUUAGCUAGUUGGUGAGGUAAAGGCUCACCAAGGCGACGAUCGUUAACUGGUCUGAGAGGAUGAUCAGUCAACCGGGAACUGAGACACGGUCCAGGCUCCUACGGGAGGCAGCAGUGGGGAAUAUUGGACAAUGGGCGAAAGCCUGAUCCAGCCAUGCCGCGUGUGUGAAGAAGGUCUUCGGAUUGUAAAGCACUUUAAGUUGGGAGGAAGGGCAGUAAGUUAAUACCUUGCUGUUUUGACGUUACCGACAGAAUAAGCACCGGCUAACUUCGUGCCAGCCGCCGCCGUAAAAC